UAGAGGGACCGGAGUCAGGAUCUGGGGACAAGAGGGUGAGAUGUGGCAGAGGACGGAUCGAUGCACAGGAUGGUUCAGCUGGAGAUGACUUAGAGCUGGAGGGAGGCAACAAGUUUCAGGCAGGCAGGAAAUGGCUUUGUGUUGCAGAAGCACUCUUUAUUUGCAAGCAGAUCAGCACAGGAGUGUGCUGCAGAGAAGGGAGGGUAUGCAGUACAAGACUUUGACUAGGACUCAGAGCUCAGAGCUCAGCAUCAACAGAACUUUUCCCCAACCUGAUAAACAUUUCAUCAUCUACUCUACUGGCAUUUAUGAGUUUUUUUCUCUUUUUUUCUGUUUUUUGUUUUGGUCAAUGUUCCUCAUUCUUGGUCUGGUCACUCCCAAUCCUUGUACCAGUGCCUUGAUUUUAUUGACGCUGGACAGGUUUGGGAGGCGCUGUGCCAAAGACUGCCGCCUUUCUCUCCUCCAUCAUUUCUACAUGAAAUAAAGAUCAUCAGCCCCUAACCCUAAACAUCAGAACCUAUUUGAACUGAUGAAUCUGUCCUGCUGUUGCUUUUCUUUAUUUUUGGUGAUUUUCAAGGGAAUCUGUUGCUCAGAACAAAUAAUUUUCUAAUUUCAUGACUGUGACAUGUAUGACAUUUAUGACAUGUGGUGUAGCAUGAAGUCGACUGAAAAGCAUUUGAAUAAAUUAUUAAACUGGUGUUUAUAAAA